CUGAGUUUUUCUAUAAAUCUUAAUUUCAAACAUGGUUUUAUCAUGACUGUAGAUUUCUUAGUAGAAAAUUUAGUUUUACAACAAAUUUCACCAGAUUAAGUAUAAACUAAUUCCAUAACCUAACUUUCUUUGUUCGUUUAGCAUAUCUUCGCGAGUACAGUAAAAGAGUGAACCAAACUUCCAACUCCUCCGGCAAGAACACCAAGCUUUGAGAUUUUGAGAUUUCCUAGCCAUCGUCGCUACAGGUUCGGACCAGAAAGCCCUCCAGCAAGGAAGCGCCAGCAGAAACAGUAACCUGAUUCGUGAUCUUCCGCCGAUUCGCUGCCCCGGUCCCCGCGACCAAGAAAGGAUUCGCUGCUCCGGUUCCCGCGGCCAAGGAAGGAUUCGCUGCCUCGGUUCCCGCGACCAAGGAAGGCCAGCGUUUGCGAUCGCUCGUGCACUACCCAACUUCUUCGAACGUCUCGGCCAGAUUCGGACAAAAAGUCCUCCGACAAUGAAGCGCCAGCCGAAACAACAACCUGAUUCGGGAUCUUCCGGUGAUUCGCUGCCCCGGUUUCCGCGACCAAGAAAGGAUUCGCUGCUCCGGUUCCCGCGGCCAAGGAAGGAUUUGCUGCCUCAAGAUUGAAUAAAAAAGGUUCAUUGUUUUUGUUUA
rnacentral:lncRNA from 1 species